AGUUAAAUUUAUGAGAAAAACAAUUAUACAUGGUAGUGCAAGUAUCAAAAGGGGAGAAUCACACUGAAAAACGGAAUUCUUUUAUAUGCUAAAGCAACGGGAGCACUAAACAACACAGAUAUUGUAAAAGCAUGUGAACUCCAAAUAUCCAGAGCACAAGACAAUAUAACACAGAUGAAUAUUUGUAUAACAUUGUCGGUGCCUUAAUGGUACAAAAGCUACUUGUACAGCAGGAACUGAACAAUGCCUUCUCAAUUUAAAUGAUAAGCUAUGUAAUUUGGACUUGGAUACAUGUAUCUGAUAUAGGUAGAUGUCCAAAUGUGGCUAGCCUAUUUCCAAAAUUUCAUAUAUUUCCUCACUAAUUUGAAGUGUCAAAGUAUGAUAGCCAUGCUAAUGUAUCCUUAUUUGACAUUGCUACUUCAGCAUAAAGUGAAGAGCUGAAGUAGCUAUGACAAUUAUUAGUGUGUGAGUGUGUGUGUGUGUGU
rnacentral:misc_RNA from 1 species